GCUGUGCUAUCACAAUCAGCUCAUAGCUGCUCAGAACCGAAUCUGCCAGGCAAUCACCAAAAGCGAGCUUCUCUGCUCCUUCCGGUCCGGCUGCAGCGUUUACGAUUACGAUUAUGGCCACCCCCAUGUGAGCUUAACCCCUCCCCGAAAUUAAUGUUGACUUGCUCCAGAUCAUAAAUUGAGGACGGUAACUUUUCCUUUACCUUUUUUCGUAAAUAACCAAAAAAAACAGAGAAGAAAAAAAAGAAAGUAAAGAAAAGAGGAGG
rnacentral:lncRNA from 1 species